GAUGCCCCACGACAGCCGUCAUGUGCCUGUCGCCGGUGAUGCUCGGACGGCGCGCAGAACAGCCGCAUGAGGGAUCGGGCAUGCUCGAUAUCAUGGGGAAGUUGGAACCGAGGCACUGGUCGUUCUCUUCGCCGGUGGAACCAAGAGGAGAGAUCGUGCUCCUUCUCGAUUCUCGUCGACGAAAACGACGAAGGGGUUGUCGGCGUUGCUUCUGUCCGCCAACAGACACGCAACCGUUGUGCGACCUGCCAAACAACGAGGGGCGGCGAUGGUAGCUGAUCUGGUCAUAGGCUAUGGAUAAUGGGCAUGCGACGGCUAGGGCAUCUUCUCAAGGAAGAAGAUGAAGUUUCUAGCCAAAUUACAAUUUGGUCUCUGAACUUUUUGAAUAUUUUCAUAGUAGUCCUUUUGGGCUGAAAAUUUUGUCCACAA
rnacentral:lncRNA from 1 species